AAUCCGUUUGGGCCUUAGGCCCAAACCUGAUCCACUGCCAUCAACAUGAAUCCACAAUGUUGAGACCAAAACUAGGAAGCGAUUAAGCUGAAAAACCUCCAUCCACGUGAGCGAAAUCCCAAAAUCACUUAUCAAGAAGCGCAUAUGCAAAAAGCCAAGUCAGCACCGUGUUAGACGUUCAUCCAUCGACUUCCAAGUGUUCAAGGCUUCGUAUUCGAAAAACUCGACUCGCUGCUCAUGAUUCGCGUCUCAACCGUUCUAAGCUCCUUGCAUCAUCGUCGCGUGAGGGUGUCGUGUUCGUCACAACUCCUCAUGGCAUCGCUUUCUUCAUCAGCCUUUAAUCGCGUCCAGGGAGAUCGAAGCAACAAGGAGUGCGUCGCGCUUAUGCAUCAGGCGUCUCAGAGCGUCAUCUUCGAAUUGGUGGAUCGUGCCACAAGUUUCUCAUUGUGUUUACAUAUUCGUAACGGCGAUGACGCCACAUUCGUGCGUCAAGGAUCCAAAUUGAGUUAUUCAAAGCUUAAAUAAACAUGGACUUACUGGCUUCGAAUCGACGGCAAAAACAGGUACGAAUCCUUGCUUCUUUAAGCUUCUUCUUCACGUAUCCUUCUUCUUCAAUUUCGUUUUCUUCUUCUGUUCUUGCGUUUUCCUUUCUUUGUAUCUUGCUGAGCAAUGUGGUGGAUGCGAGGUUGUUGCGGAUGAAACGAGUGAGACUUGGAGAUGCUUGGUACAGAACUGAGUGAUUGUCGAGUGGGAUGAUUUGGCAGAAUGAAGAUGCAUGUGAUACAAGAUGAAGAAAGAAGGUUGAAGAACGAAGAAUCGAUGGAGAGUGAAGAAAAUAAAUGAUGAAAAACCCCCCUCAAUCCUAGAUUUUGUUUUCUCUUUCAAUUUGGUGUGGCUUGGCUUGGCUUCUUGGAGCGUUUGCAGCUUAUGCAGUUGCGGCUUCGGACUGGUUUGGAUGCUUGAGUGUCGUUUGGAAGCUUGGCUUGUGUUGCAGCUGUUUGGCUUUAUGUAGCCUUAUGCAGCUUAUGCAUCUUUCAACUUUCUGCUGCGUUUUAUCGUUACCUGCGUUUGGUGUUGUUUCCUCCAUGUUGCAUCUUCACUCUUUUUUUGUCUUAUUCGAAACCAUCCUUGGGCUUGGGGAAUUUGGAUUAUGGGCUUAUGCUUGGGGCUCAAUUAGACUUUAGAAUGGAUAUUGAAUAAAAUUGGAUUGGUUAAGUGGUUUUGGCUAUUGGGUUAUUGGUUUCAAUGUAUUAUUGAAUUAAAAAAGUCUACUGGAUUAGAAAUUGGUCAAUUGAUUUUUAAAUGGAUGUUAAAUUGGAAAUUGGAUUUAAUUGGACAAAUGGAUUGGUAAUAUGGACAUGGUUUAUGUUA